GACGAACGCUGGCGGCGUGCUUAACACAUGCAAGUCGAACGAUGAAGCCCAGCUUGCUGGGUGGAUUAGUGGCGAACGGGUGAGUAACACGUGGGCAACCUGCCCCAAACUCUGGGAUAACUCCUCGAAAGAGGUGCUAAUACCGGAUACGAACUAGACAGACAUCUGUACUAGUUGGAAAGUUUUUCGGUUUGGGAUGGGCCCGCGGCCUAUCAGCUUGUUGGUGAGGUAACGGCUCACCAAGGCUACGACGGGUAACCGGCCUGAGAGGGGGACCGGUCACACUGGGACUGAGACACGGCCCAGACUCCUGCGGGGGGCAGCAGUGGGGAAUAUUGCGCAAUGGGCGAAAGCCUGACGCAGCGACGCCGCGUGAGGGAUGAAGGUCUUCGGAUCGUAAACCUCUUUCAGUAGGGACGAAGCGAAAGUGACGGUACCUAAAGAAGAAGCACCGGCUAACUACGUGCCAGCCGCCGCCGUAA
rnacentral:rRNA from 1 species